rnacentral:rRNA from 1 species
UACGUAGGGUGCAAGCGUUUGUCCGGAAUUAUUGGGCGUAAAGAGCUCGUAGGCGGUCUGUCACGUCGGCUGUGAAAACCCGAGGCUCAACCUCGGGCCUGCAGUCGAUACGGGCAGACUAGAGUUCGGUAGGGGAGACUGGAAUUCCUGGUGUAGCGGUGAAAUGCGCAGAUAUCAGGAGGAACACCGGGUGGCGAAGGCGGGUCUCUGGGCCGAAACUGACGCUGAGGAGCGAAAGCGUGGGGAGCGAACAGG